rnacentral:lncRNA from 1 species
ACUAUUGUAGUUUGACAUUAACAGCUUUGCUUGAUCUCGCUUUUCCGGUAUGUGAAUUUCCAUUAUCUUUUCCAUUUUAUUUUUCUUGGUGGCAUGUAAUGCUAAUGCAAGUUUUAACUACUCAUAUCAGCAUCUGUAAUCAUGCUGAUUCUGAUUUAGAUUUGUAGACCUUGACAACUGUGCAAAGUGCAUUACUUUCUUUGCCUUUGAUGAGUGAGAGCGAGUCUUGAGUUUUUACUCUCUAACUAAAUUUUUAUCUGAUUAAUUUAAUUCUCAAUUUGCUUUCUGUUCGAUUUACAUUCAACUCGGUCUCACUUUCUCUUGCAAAUGUACACAAAUUCCUCAAGGUCAAUUGAAACAGUCUGAUGAGGGGGCUUUGUUCACAUUGAAAUAUAAAAUUCAACAAUACUUUGCCCUCUUUUUCGUAGAUGAUGAUACUUUUCUUCUGAAAAACCAAGAUGACACAUUUAUUGGUGGUGUUCAGGAUAACCUUGGGGGUAGGCUGCAUGACAGGAGCAAAGAAACUCCUAAAACUAUGAAGCAAGUUCAACUCUCUCGGAUUUUCCCCAACAAAGUGACCAUGCCCCAGGUAGUCAGCCUUUUUUCUUAUAUGGUCAUUGUGCUUAGGGUGGUUCGGUAUGGGAUCCCAUACCGAAACCCUUGUCCCGAUUCCCAUACCGAAAUUUUCGGGAAUCCCAAUUUCAAUACCGAUCCCAAACCAAAUUUUCGGGAAUCCCAAUUUUCGGGAAUCCCGAAAUAGUUUCGGGAUUUCGGGACAAAUCGGGAAUCCCAAAAAUAAUUUUAGGCUUUUGGACUUUUGGGCUUUUGGACAAAAAAAGCUAAUAUUGGUCCAAUUGGACAAAAACCUAAUAUUGGGCCUGCCCACUGAAUGUAACAGCCCCCACAUAUGGGCUUAACUUUUAUUCAACCAAAUAAAAAAAAUAUUGGGCAAACCUGCAAUGUUUAUAAGAGCAGAACGAACAUUAGCAGUUCAGCUGCAUUUUCCACUUGUAUUGUAGCCAAGGUUUUAAAAUAAAUAAAGUAACAAACCCAAAAGCAAAAAAAUUAGUUACAAUCCAAAGUUUUAAUAAUUAAGUUACAAACCAAAAGCAAAAAAACAAAGUUUCAAGUUUAUGAAGAUUGUUGACAUCUUCGGCCCCUUCUUGUUGGCACUUGUAAUUUUCCCCUUGAUGUUGAUGGUUGAGCCCUUCCCCUUACAAUGGGUGGUCGUGGUCGUGAAGGUAGUGAUUGAUUUUGACGUUGUUGAACUUGUACUUGAGGUGGUCGAGGAGGUGGAGGUGGCAUUUCAUUUUCUUGUGUUGUAUUCUCCUCACCUCCCAAAUUAGCCAUGUCUAAAACAAUAAACCACAAAUCAUUUACAUUGAAUUAUAGUCUAAUAGAUAAUAAAUACUAAGAAAAUAAAAGAUGAAAUUAAAUUGUUUACUUACUUCUUUCUAAGCGUUCAAGCUCCUCGUAGAAACAUAAUUCGUCAAGGGUAGGCUCCUUGUCUCACUACUUCUACUUCUGCUACUUCCUUUUCCCCCUCUUCCCCCUCUUCCCCCUCUUCUUCUAUUUGUUCUAAUGCAAUAUCCUCCUCCACAUCCAGAUCAUCAUCCCAACAAUCUUCAUAAUAAUCAUUAUGCAAAUAAUCUUGAGGUGAGGGAGUGCCUAGUUGAAGGGUACCACUAAGUUGGGUUUGUUUUCGUUUUCCUAAUACCAAGACCAUAUGUGUACUAGAUUGGCUACUAGAUCCGUCCAUCCUAACAAAUAAAAUAACAAUGUACAUUAAUAUAUCACAACCACAGUUCAGCAUAGUGUGUACAUUAAUAUAUCACAACCACAGUUCAGCAUAGUGUGUACAUUAAUAUAUAACAAUGUACAUUAAUAACAAUGUACAAUCAAAGUAAAAUCUGACCCAAUAUAUACAUCCUAUGAUAACAUUAACUUGUUACUUGUUUAAAUUAUGUAAUGGGAUUUUAAAAUGGUUAAUGGCAUGCGAUUCAUCACAAAUGAAGUAAGGAAAAUAAUGUGCACAUAUUCAGCAAGCUGAUCACAAGUAAAACAGAUAUAAAUAAAAGACAUCACCAUAAACCUACCUCUUCAUGAAUUUUUGUAAUUUCACGAGCUAGGACGCAUUUUCUGAAACACAAUUACAAACUCACCAAAUCAGUUUUUUGUAAAACCACUAAGUCAGUAAAAGCGCAUAAAUCCAUACAUGGAAGUUUAAUUUGUAACUCACCAUAACAAAAACUAAUAUAUAAUCAUUUUUUUCUUAAGUCAGUAAAGCUUUUAUUGAAGUUGGUAUUUUUUCUUAAUACCUUUAUUAAAAUUGAUUUUUAAUCUGAAGCCUUAAAAGUAUUUACCUUGAAACACCAAAAACUGAAGAAGUCUCUUCAAGAAACUGUUGAAGUUUGUGGGGAGGCACAUAGAAUAUUUGGGUCGUCCCCUCAUUUGCUGAAACCGUCAACCUCUCUCUUCUAGAUCCAACAUGUUUAGAGAGAAAUCCAACUGCAGAAGUAUACUCAGUUUCAGAGUUCUAUAUACAUCUUAUCCACCAAGAAGAAUAUCUGCAGCAUCAUUUCCAUGGAAAACUUACCAAACGUAAACUCAUCCGUGGAGAGGCCAGAUGCAGAGAGAGCAGCCACAAAAGCAGACGGCCCAGGUAUAGGAAUAACAGGGAUGUUUUCAUCCACGCACAGCUUUGCCUGCAAUAAAACUUGAGAGAGAUCCAAUUGCAGAAGUAUACUCGAGAGAGAUCCCCAGUUCUGUGACCUGUCCUGUCCUGUCCGUGAAAGACAAUCGCCCUAGAGAGAGAGAGAGCAGUGGUUGUGUGGUGAAGGAAGGCUGGAGAGUCAGAGACGAGAGUAUGGUGUGGUGGUGGGUCGGUUGCUGGUUGGAAUUCGACAGUAUGGUGAGGGACGACGUUGGUGAGGGUCGGAGGCUCACGGCUGCGCUUCGAAACAAAUGAACGGAGGAAUACAAAAGUGAAAUGUUAUCAUCUGACCUAAAAACAAAUCGACGGCACAGAUUAAAUCCAAAACAAUCAACGGUUGAAAUAAUUCUCUUAUAAUUAAAAAAUUAUAUAUAUAUAUAUAUAUAUAUUUUGGUUCGGUAUGGGAAUACCGAAAAAAUGAAAUGCAAUACCGAAUCCCAUACCGAAAAUUUCGGUUUGGUUUGGGAUUACAUCCCGAAACUUUCGGGAAUUUUGGUUUGGGAUUAUUUUGGUUUGGGAUCGGGAUUUUUUUGGUUUGGUUUGGGAUUUUUGGGAUUUUUUUCCAGCCUACUUGUUAUUGCUUGCAUGAGGUAAUAUUUGUCGGCUAUCCUGGCAGGAUGAGGCUUUACUUUCGGACUGGAAGCAGCAGUUUGAACGUGAUGUUGAAACUUUGAAAUCGAAGUUUUAUAUUGUUGCCAUUCACUCAGUAAGUACAUCUGAUCACAUCUACUUUUUGCUCUUAUUGUUCUUUCCCUUAAAUACGCCUCUCAUGUAUACUGUUCUUACACCUUCUUGCGCACUUAUUGAAACACAAGGAUGUGAAGAUUGUGCACAUGUGCUUGCUAAUGCUAACCGUGAUUCAUUUCCCUGUUGACAUUUUUAGUUAGCAGUUUAGUGGCUAAUGUAGUGUGUUUAGUGCUUUCGAUGCUAUUCCUGUAUAUUUUCUCGUAAGGCUGAUGUUUUCAGGUUCUUAACCGAGUUUCUGUGGAUUGCCCUGACCUUGAAAGUCUGUGCAUUAAAGAUCUAGUGCUUACAACUGAAAGUGCGUUUUCUUGAACUCAAAGUUUGUAGUGCAGAACAUUUUGCAGGGAAUAUUGACCUUAAUAUUCACUUAUGCGAUUCAUUGUAUAAUCCUUUCUUCAACAGGUGUUGACAAAGUAGUAGGCUGGGCUGUUAGUCACCAUCUUAUGCAUUGUUCAGACGCUUUAGUUAAAGAUGACAAACUUGUUAUUUCUACUGAAAGGUUGUACAAUUUCUUAGGACAGUGUAGUUUAAAUAUACCGUAUAUUCUGUUUUCUUAUCAUAUUUUAUGGUUCUGCGCUACAGUCUUAGGGAUGGACUAAACAUUCUACAAGGCAUUCAAAACGAAAACAAGAGCAUAAAGAAAUCACUUAAGGUAAGUUGAUAUUGUGGGGAAGUACCACAAAUGCCUUGUUUCGAGCUCUCUGAAGAUGAAAUGUAAAUUAGAUUUUCCAUAAUCAGGAAAGUAAGUGUAUAUAUAUUGGAUUUAACUCCAUGAUAUUUCAGGAUGUGGUUACUGGAAAUGAAUUUGAGAAAAAACUUCUUGCUGAUGUUAUUCCACCGAGCGAUAUUGGGGUUAGUUUUGAUGACAUCGGGGCCUUGGAAAAUGUGAAGGACACCCUAAAGGAGUUGGUGAUGCUUCCACUUCAGAGGCCUGAAUUAUUUACCAAGGGACAGUUGAAUAAGGUAGAAACAUGGCACUCUUUUCAUUUGUCCCCUUUGGAAAGUGAAACAGUUCUAUGUUGGUGCUUCUUUUCUUUCAUGUUUCUUAUCUGAUUAUCGUCACUUAUUCUACAGCCUUGUAAAGGAAUCUUGCUAUUUGGUCCCCCGGGUACUGGAAAGACUAUGCUUGCGAAGGCUGUUGCAACUGAAGCUGGUGCAAACUUUAUUAACAUAUCAAUGUCAAGUAUUACUUCAGAGGUAUUUUUGCAUUUUAUCGUGGUUGUUGGAACUUGGAUAAACAUUUUGUGACGACUAUUGAAUCCAUAUGACCCCUUUAACUUUUGUUGCAGUGGUUUGGGGAAGGAGAGAAGUACGUUAAAGCGGUGUUCUCCUUAGCUAGUAAAAUUGCCCCUAGUGUUGUUUUUGUUGAUGAGGUUGGUUCAUUACAUUCUAUAUAUUUGCGCUGUCCAGGGAACCUUUUUCUUUAGUUCUCGUUUGGAAAAUGUGAGUUAUACAAAGAGUUUUCUGGAAUAUACCAUGCCAGUUUAUGAGUGUUUGUAGAAUCCUUUUGUUCGUCUUGUUUCACUCAAUUUUAUUCCCGUCCAAUUUGAUUUUUUUAUUGGUACCAUCAUAGGUGGACAGCAUGUUAGGCAGACGUGAAAAUCCUGGGGAACAUGAGGCUAUGCGUAAAAUGAAAAAUGAGUUCAUGGUUAACUGGGAUGGUCUGCGUACAAAGGAUAAAGAACGUGUAUUGGUACUUGCUGCUACUAAUAGGCCUUUUGACCUUGAUGAGGCUGUUAUUAGGAGGCUUCCGAGGAGGUAAAAUCGCAUGUUUGCCUGUUGUUCUGCUACUGCAUCUGUUAUAUGUCAACGCAAGUAUAUUGACUUCCUGCGUACAAAAUUAAUUCUAUGUGCAGAUUGAUGGUGAACUUGCCAGAUGCCCAGAACAGAGAAAAAAUACUGAGAGUUGUAUUGGCCAAAGAAGAUUUGGAAACUGACGUUGAUUUGGAGGCAGUUGCAAAUAUGACAGAUGGGUAUUCCGGAAGUGACUUAAAGGUUGCCUACUAAUUUUUACGAAACCCAUCUAAGCUUUUUACAUACGUAGUUUUAUUUUUGUCGGUUAUAUUCUAUGUAGUUCUAUUUUCUCUUAUGUAAUGGAUUGUCCUGAUUUUUGUUGUGGUUGCAGAAUCUGUGUGUUGCUGCAGCUCACCUCCCCAUUAGGGAAAUUUUAGAGAAGGAGAAAAAGGUUGGUUUGCUGGACAGUGUAACAAAAAUACAAAGCCCUUGUUGAUUUUUUAACUUGAAGUGGUGUGGUUGGUUACUGCAACUAAGUAGUUCUUUCUUCACGUAUCGCAGGAGAGAAGUUUAGCUUUGGCGGAGAACAGACCUGUACCGGAGUUGUACUGCAGCACCGACAUUCGUCCUUUGAAGAUGGAGGACUUCAAACAUGCGCAUGAGCAGGUACGUUGUGACCUAAUAAUACAAUACGGGGUUUUGGCUUCUUGUAGUAUUCUACCGUGGUCGGAAGUGUUCGGUUGCGUUCCGGAUCAUUGGCUGUCUAAUAUUGAAUUCAAUGCAGGUGUAUGCAAGUGUGUCUUCGGAGUCGACAAACAUGAGUGAGCUCCUCCAAUGGAAUGACCUAUACGGCGAAGGCAGAUCAAGAAAGAAGACGUCUCUCAGCUAUUUUAUAUAGUGUUUAAAUACGAAUUAUAAUAGAUUUUGCAUGGAAAAAUAUAUUUUGAAGGCCAUGAAUAUGAUAGUUUGUUGUAGUGGUAAGAGAAAUAAAAAAAAAUAUACAAAAAUGAUUGAAAUGCUUGAGGUGGCAGAAAGUCACUUCAAAAUAUAUUUUUCCGUGCGUGGAGCUCGACUCGUUUUCUGAGCACCCGAGAGUUCACCUCAUUUUGCAUGCACAGAGCCCGCCUCAUCUUGUGUCUGGAUUUGCCUUGUCCUGCAUGUGAGGUGUCCGCAUCGUUUUGCAUAUCAAAUGCUCGUCCCUUUUUUUGUCCACGGAGCAUGCGCCGUUUUGACUUGCACGAAGCUAGCCUCGUUUUUCAUGCGCAGGGCUGGCCUAGAUUUGUGCGACGUAUCCCUCCUCGUUUCUCAUGCGCAGAGCUCAAGUCGUUUUGCAUGCCGGGAAGCCCACCAAGUUUUCUUGAGCGCAACCCCCCUUGUCUUGUGUACCAAGAUUCAUCUCGUUCUGCGUGAGCUGAGUCCGCAUCGUUUUGUGUGCGUCGAUCCUGCCUAACCCCAUGCUUUUUGACAAAAAUGCAAAUUUUUUAUUUUCACAAAAUAUUUUUCCUAAGCAUUAAGUUAAAGUUUUUAAGGAAUUUGGAAGCAGUUUUAGGGCUUAGUGAGCGACAAAUGUAUAUUUAGUAGAAUAUUUGAGCCGAGAACUAAAAAAAUAAGCAAAAAACAUAGUAGUGAGUCCUAGAACAUUGUCAAAUGGGGUUAGACACUCAAGAAUCUCAACGGAAAGCCUCGUCUUAAUUUCCAAAACUUCACAGUGAGGCGAAGGUGAAAAUAAAUAGAUUGAACGGGGAUUUAUGUACGAAUUUGCCAAACCGACUGAAAACAGUGAGUGUUAAUCCACGUUUUCCAAAUAUUUUAUGUGAGCAUUAAAUAAAUCUUUAUAAUGUAUUUGGAAGCGGAUUUACUAUUUAUCGAGCAACAAGUGUAUAUUUAGUAAAAUAUUUAAGCCGAAAAGUAAAAAAAAAAAAAAGUGAACAAAUUAGACAAAAAAUAGUAAAAUUUUGUUUUGUUAAAUAGUCUUUUACUGACAAAGAGGGUUCUAUUAAUAUGUUGACACACCCCGACCUAGAUCGAAGCAUGCUGGCCGUCAUGUGGGAGUGACGUAACCAUGUGCACAGUGCGGAAGCAAUAAAGAUAUUAGGGAAAUGCGAAAGAAUAAAAACCAAACUACUAGCAGUACUAGCUAAGAUAGAGUGCUAGUGCGAGAUUAAAUGUGAAAUACACAACUAGAGCAUAAUAUCCUAGAUGCAGUCAAGUAGGACAAGUACUAAUUGUACAACACCUAAGGGUGAUCCUACAUUUAUGAUGUUUUGUCAGAACCCUUGUCAAAAUCCUCGUGAUCCAGCAAAGCACUUAUACCUAAAACCUGGAGGGGCGCAAAACAAAAAGUGUGAGUGGGCAAAAACAAAGCUUUUCAAAAUCAUUUCAUUUCUCAAAAGUUCUAACCCCUUGCCGUAAAACCUGUAUAAUUUUCCCAGAAAAAUAUAAUAUAUGCUAUAUCAGAAUUCAUGCUCAGGAUGAAAAUCCAUAGAAAUAUAUCAUGCCAAAGUAUCUCAAUGAAAUGCCAUAAGUAAUCUAGUUAAAUAUAUCAGUGCCAGAUAUCAUAACAACUGGAUCUACCUAACUUGACCUGUACGGCUGAGUACAUAGCUCAUAACCAAUCUCAAUCAUAUCAAAUCAAAUCCUGCACACGAGUUGGAACCACCUAAAGUGGUCUGUACGAUAGGAUUAGGUGUAAUAUAAAUAUGCUCUAGUGCUACGAUCACGUGAAGACUGUGCGAAUAAUCGCCGGUCACUUACGAGUCGGAACCACCCAAAGUGGUAUGUACGACAAGCUUGUGCACCUAACUUGGAUCCAAGGUGAGCAUAUGGUGCGGGAGGUGAACAUCACGUGAAUGACUGUGCCCUAACCUUGGACGGGAGCACUAACACCAGGGUGCAAGUUUAUGAGCUCUCAAUACAUCACAUCAUAUCUCACAUAACUGAAGCAAUCACAUAUCUUUAAUUUAUGAACUUACCUGGCACUUACCUGUGCGUCCACAACACUAAUCAUGAAUAUAUGCAACUACUAAUGCAUAAUUAAAAUAGGCAAAUACUUGCAUGGCAUUUCCAAAACGUAAUUUCAUUUAAACACAUUUUCUGGGAAAAAUCUCAAGUAUAUAGGUAUAUACGGAAAACCAAAAGCCCACUCACUGAUAUGUCAAAGGGUAUUAGCCCCCGAGCCUCGAUUGAUGGUGCUCGUCCUCAGGAUAGGUCUCACCUAUAUGCGAAAUAACUUAAUAAAAGUUAUUUAAAGCACAUACAAAAAACUAGGAAAUAACUUCUCAUACAAUGCUCAAAUGGGGUUUUUGAAUAUACCAACGUGAUCUACUCAACACCACGAAUAUCCCCAUAUUUUUAGAAAAAAUUUCCGACCACUCACGUUCCCGCCAAGGCAUGGCUCAACGCGCCUCCAUGUGCGGCCAAACCCUAACCGAAACUUAACUGCCGUUAGGAAUAUUUCGUUAAAACCUUAACAUAAAUUAACGGCGUUACCAGACGCCGUUAGAAUAUUUCGUCAAACUUGACAGAAUAUUCCCUUCUCCUUCCUUGGUUCGCCGGAGUUCGGCACCGGUCGCCGCUGCACUCGCCGAUUUCUAGAAAAAUUUCAAAUCUUCAUAUCUCUUUUGAUUCUCAACCAAAAUUCACAAAAUUUAUACCAAAUUGAAGCUUAGGAUGAGAGGAACAAAACCUUACCACUUUGGGGACCUAAGACCAACGGAAUCUCGCUAGAGAAACCUCGAUAAUCCGACCAAAAAUUGAAACUCGCGAACUGGGACUUCCAAACAUCCAAAACACUCCAACUUUCUUUCCCAAGCUUCGUGAAGAUGUUUUAAGGCUUCCUAUAACCUUAAAACUCCUUGAAAACUUCGAAAUCAUGAGUGCAUGAACAGUAACCCAAAACUGGGUUCUCGGGAAAAUGAGGCCUUCACAUCCAAAUAAUAGUAUCAAUGGAUUCCUGGGCUCUCAAGGAACUUGAAUAUGGUCUCCAAAGGUUCGAUCUGAGGAUGAAAGUGAAGGUUCAAGGUUUGUCCGUACAAUUGUACGGAAAUGGAAGAAAAUGCGAGAGGGAGGAGAGAGAGUCAACAGGAUAGGGUGAGGGUAUGUGUGUGUGGUCCAGAUUGGUCCCCAACCAAAGACAAAUAAACUUAAAAAAAUCUAAUUGGGUCCAAUCUAUUAGGAAAUGAACUUAAUUGGUCCAAAAACUUAGCUUAAAUCACAACCACAACCCAACGCUCAAUGGCAUUUUAGACUUUUCACACCGCCGAUAAAAAAUAUUUCGGGACGGGCUGUGACAUAUGUAGUUUAGAUUUUGAUAAAAGAAAAAAUUAACAAAAAGAAAAAUCAAGUUCAAAUAUCGUUAAAUUAAGGUCUUAAAUUGUUGAUUACAAGUGUUUAAAUACGAAUUAUAAUAGAUUUUAAACGGAAAAAUAUCUUUUGAAGGGCAUGAAUAUGAUAGUUUGUUGUAGUGGUAAGAGAAAUAAAAGAAAAUGUAGAAAAAUGGUUGAAAUUCUCGGGGGGUGGCAGAAAGUCACACCUGACUUUGUGGCUCGUGACUUUCUGGCACCCAGGAAUUUCAAUCAUGUUUGUUAAUUUUUCUUUCAGUUAUCUUACCACUACGACAAACUAUCACAUUCAUGUUCUUCAAUAUAUAUUUUGCCAUGCGUGGAGUCCGACUCGUUUUCUGAGCACCCAGGAGUUCGCCUCGUUCUAAAUGCGCAGAGCCCGCAUAGUCUUGUGUUCUAGGUUCACCUUGUUCUGCAUGUGAUGAGGUGUCCGCAUCGUUUUAUGUGCCAGAAGCCCAUCCCUUUUUUUGUCCAUGGAGCCUGCGUCGUUUUGACGUGCGCAGAGCCAGCCUCGUUUUCCGUGCGCAAGGCUGGCCUAGAUUUGUGUGACGUAUCCCUUCUCAUUUCUCAUGCGCGAAGCUCGCCUUGUUUUGCGUGCUGGAAGCCCGUCCUGUUUUCUUGAGCCUAGCCCUCCUUGUUUUGUGUAUCAAGAUUCGCCUCGUUUUGCAUGAGUAGAGUCUGCCUCAUUUUGCUUGCGUCGAUCCCGCCUAAAACCCUACUUUUUGACAAAAAUGCAAAACUUCACAAUGGGGCAACUUAAUUUCUAAAACUUCACAGAGGGGUUACUUAUCAACUAAGUCUAAGACCACUAUUCCGAAUGUUUAGCGGUUCUUCUAGUGCCAAUUUUGACUUGACUGGCAGCAUUUCUAAGAUACUUGACGAGCAAAGGGAAAUCAGAGAACUUCUUCACAAUUUUGAUACUCCAAUGUCGAUAUCAACUAGACGACAACGUCGACAAGCAUUUAAAGAAAAACUGCAACAAGGAAUUCUACGUCAUGAUGAUAUUGAUGUCUCAUUCGAAAGUUUUCCAUAUUACCUAAGGUGCAGCAAUUUGCCUUUUUUAUUAUUAUUGUGGAUCAGAUCAUCAUAUGAUACUGAACUAGCUUCCCUUAUUGUGAUUGGUCCAUAUGUAGUUGGACUCUUAUUGGUAAAUUCUGCGCUCAGACCUUUCCUCAUUUUGCAUUUUUACAGUGAAACAACAAAGAAGGUUUUGAUUGCAUCCACCCACCCGAAUUUGAGGUGUAGCAAGUUUGGAAAAUAUUUUUCAUCACUACCUACCGGGAGCCCGCGCAUAUUAUUAUCUGGUCCAGCAGGUACUUCUGCCAUUUUAAUUUUUACACACAGGCUUGUAAUUUUGUGGUUGAUGAUGCUUGUAAAUUCUGAAAUUUUUAUAUUUUCUUUUUCUUUCCUUGUUAAUUCAUUAUGUUUUUAUUUUAAUAAUUCUUUUGUAGGUUCUGAGAUAUAUCAGGAAACCUUGGCAAAGGCACUCGCGAAACAUUUUGGCGCUAGAUUACUAAUUGUAGAUUCCUUCAUGGCCCUUUUUUAACUAGAAUCUUGUUUGCUUACAAGCAUAUCUUCUCCUUCUGUUGUUGUUGAUCUACUUUUUUCUAGCAGUUUUCUUUGUCAUUUCAGGAAUUCAAGUUUAGAAUUGUGGAUUUUUCUUCUUAAUAGGUUGAGGCACCACCGCCCAAGGAUUCUGAUUCUGUUAAAGAAGUACCAAGGCUUGAAAGAUUUUCCACAUUUACGAAACGAGCAGCUCGUGCAAUCCGUGAACUUCUUGAGGUACUCAUCUCCUUGCACUUUUCUGGAGGUGAUGAUAUUAACAAUCUUGCAAUCGGUGAACUUCUUGAGGUACUCAUCUCCUUUACACUAACAGGAGCUCCCUUUACUGUACCAAUAUAGUUGCUGUUAAUUUGGUAUUAAUAUCUACACCAAUGUUGUGCAGGCGGCAACCAAUGAGAGUAAAAGUCUUCCUAUGAUAGUGUUUUUGAAAGAUAUAGAAAAGGUUAUGGCAGGUAACCCAUAUGCAUAUAGUGUCUUGAAGGGUAAGCUUGCAAACUUGCCAGAGAAUGUUGUUGUGAUCGGCUCUCAUACCCAGUUGGACAAUCGCAAGGCAAAGGUAAGAGGCUCAGGAUUUUAUCAGUAAGCUGAUUUUGAACUCACUAUUGUAGUUUGACAUUAACAGCUUUGCUUGAUCUUGCUUUUCCGGUCUGUGAAUUUCCAUUAUCUUUUCCAUUUUAUUUUUCUUGGUGGCAUGUAAUGCUAAUGCAAGUUUUAACCACUCAUAUCAACAUCUGUAAUCAUGCUUAUUCUGAUUUCGAUUUGUAGACCUUGACAACUGUGCAAAGUGCAUUACUUUCUUUGCCUUCGAUGAGUGAGAGCAAGUCUUCAGUUUUUACUCUGUAACUAAAUUUUAAUCUGAUUAAUUUAAUUUUCAAUUCGCUUUCUGUUUGAUUUACAUUGAACUCGGUCUCACUUUCUCUUGCAAAUGAACACAAAUUCCUCAAGGUCAAUUGAAACAGUCUGAUGAGGGGGCUUUGUUCACAUUGAAAUAUAAAAUUCAAUAAUACUUUGCCCUCUUUUUCGUAGACGAUGAUACUUUUCUUCUGAAAAACCAAGAUGACACAUUUAUUGAUGGUGUUCAGGAUAACCUUGGUGGUAGACUGCAUGAUAGGAGUAAAGAAACUCCUAAAACUAAGGAGCAAGUUCAACUCUCUCGGAUUUUCACCAACACAGUGACCAUACAGCUGCCCCA